rnacentral:tRNA from 1 species
GACUCCGUAGCUCAACCGGAUAGAGCACCGGCCUUCUAAGCCGGGGGUUGUAGGUUCGAGUCCUACCGGGGUCGCCA